GUAGCAUUCCAGAAGGAUUCCCUAAUCUAAAUAUAAAAUAUGCAAGUCGCAACUCAUCUGGCAGAUCGCACAGGAACAUAGGGAGGGUUGCGAGAGACCAAGGCAACGAAAAGCCUCACGCUGGCAAAUGGAAUUGGAUUCGUUACAGUUUCAUCAAUUAUUUACACUUGACGACAUCAGGACCUACAAACAUGUUAAAAUUGCUUGCAUUUGGCCGUCUUUCCCAUAGUUAACUCUGGCCGUAUGAGGAAGUUCUUUCUGGUGGCCUGGGGGCUGAAGUGAUAUUUGUCCCGCAACUGCCCUUGUGCAGACCUCUGAGCUCUUCUCUUGGCUGACUGGGACCACACACAGAGUGACCUUGGACUUCAAUUGCUGGAACUGCCAUCAGCCUGAGUUUUCAAAUGACUCCAUGAAGACUGAAGCCAUGUCCUGCCUUUCCUUCCCUGAAAACUGGAACUCUUAAGUGAGCAAGAAUAAAAUUAAUUCUUUAAGCCUC